UGGGGAAUAUUGCACAAUGGACGGAAGUUUGAUGCAGCGACGCCGCGUGGAGGGUGUAGGCCUUCGGGUUGUGAACUCCUUUUUCUCGCGAAAAAGGCACAGUUUUGGCUGUGUUGAUGGUAGUGGGGGAAGAAGCGCCGGCUAACUACGUGCCAGCAGCCGCGGUAAUACGUAGGGCGCGAGCGUUGUCCGGAUUUAUUGGGCGUAAAGAGCUCGUAGGUGGUUCGUCGCGUCUGUCGUGAAAGCCAGCAGCUUAACUGAUGGUCUGCGGUGGGUACGGGCGGGCUGGAGUGCGGUAGGGGUGGCUGGAAUUCCUGGUGUAGCGGUGGAAUGCGCAGAUAUCAGGAGGAACACCGAUGGCGAAGGCAGGUCACUGGGCCGUUACUGCCACUGAGGAGCGGAAGCGUGGGGAGCGAACAGG
rnacentral:rRNA from 1 species